rnacentral:rRNA from 1 species
AAAUGAAUUGACGGGGGCUCACACAAGCGGUGGAGCAUGUUGCUUAAUUCGAGGCAACGCGAAGAACCUUAUCCUAGGCUUGACAUGUAUGGAUUAGCUGUUGGAAACAUCAGUGACGCCUUCGGGUGGAACAUACACAGGUGCUGCAUGGCUGUCGUCAGCUCGUGCUGUGAAGUGUCGGGUUAAGUCCCUUAACGAGCGCAACCCCUGUCGUUAGUUGCCAACGCGUGAUGGCGUGCACUCUAGCGAGACUGCCGGUGUCAAACCGGAGGAAGGUGGGGACGACGUCAAGUCCUCAUGGCCCUUAUGCCUAGGGCUGCAAACGUGCUACAAUGGUACGGACAGAGCGAGGCGAUCCCGCGAGGGUGAGCAAAUCGCAAAAACUGUGCCCCAGUUCGGAUUGUAGGCUGCAAUUCGCCUACAUGAAGUUGGAAUCGCUAGUAAUCGCGGAUCAGCUACGCCGCGGUGAAUGUGUUCCUGAGCCUUGUACACACCGCCCGU